GCUUUCCCUCGGGCUCCGCCCGGUUUCCUCCCACCGUAAUGCUGGCCGCCGUCGUAUAACUGAAAUAUUCUUGAGUACAGCGUAAAACACCAAUCAAAUAAAUAAUUAAAUAAGUUUAUUAAAUUGGAUCUAAGCCUCAGCUAUUUUCGCUAUGUAUAAGGACGAUGAUUACAUUAGGAUUUAAUUUUCGUUGACUUACCCCUUAUUACAAGGUUGGCCACACAUUAGGUAUCUAGUGUUUAGUCGUAUUAGGAAUUAGUAGUUUUAAAUGUAUGGAAAUAUAGACCACCAUUACAACCUUAUUUUCAUUUCAGCAUGUGACCCUGGCACGUGGGGAAAUAAAUGUUCAUUCAUCUGUGGUGAGAACUGUAUCAGGACCACCUGUAAGGCUACCACUGGUGCCUGUGUGGGAGGGUGUACUUCUGGUUACACAGGGGAACGCUGUAACACAGGGCUCGUCAUUGACCGUACUGGCACGAUCGUCGGCGCUGUGUCCUCUGUUGCUGUCACAGCUGUUUUGUUUACCGCCAUGAUUCUCGUCCUACGCGACAGGAGAAGACGUCAGUCUGGUUCCCAAGAGGUAGCUGUGACCCCAGCGAGGAAUACUGGCGUCACUCCAGAAGGUACCCCACCCUGAGACACCAAAUCAUGGACAUAACCACGACCUGAACACGUACUACAACAUGGCGGCCGAGUUGGAGCCUCCUUAUGAGGCUGUCACUGAGAAUGAGUACGACAAGGUGCGCUUCUCUCCUAUGGACACUGACACCAACUACUCCAGCCUGAAGUGAUGUGUCUACGCAGUGAAAAUAGUACCGUCAACGGAACACUGGUAAUGAGUGUCCAUGCAAACGACAAUAAAUCCUUUCUUUCAGAGGCGUUUAGGGGUAAAGAUUACGUACAUGUAUGACAGCCGCUUGGCUUAUUUCUUAAAACCGUUUGAUGCCAUAAUGAAAUUAAUUCUAAUUAUAAUUAUUCAGCCAAUGAAACUACAGGAGAUAUAAGAUAAGGUGACCAUUUUUACAAAGACUUUCCAUAACUGCAGUACAUUACAAUCGUUCAGGCGUGUGUUGUUACUAUAUUUGAUCAAGGACGAAUAUCUAUUAUGUUUCUGAAUUCCCACGUUCGGCCUUGUCACAAUGUCACUGCCGCGAUGAUUUAUACCCAGUGGUUAUAUACUUGUCCAUCUCUGUCACAUGUCAAACUGUUAUAUACUUGUCCAUCUCUGUCACAUAUCAAACUGUUAUAUACUUGUCCAUCUCUGUCACAUAUCAAACUGUUAUAUACUUGUCCAUCUCUGUCACAUAUCAAACUGUUAUAUACUUGUCCGGCUCUGUCACAUAUCAAACUGUUAUAUACUUGUCCAUCUCUGUCACAUAUCAAACUGUUAUAUACUUGUACAGCUCUGUCACAUAUCAAACUGUUAUAUACUUGUCCAGCUCUGUCACAUUUACAUAUGUUACUGUCGAGUAUAUGUCUUCAUUCCUAUCUCACAAAACGUUUAAAAUGUAUGUAGAUAAAUGGGUACAUGUACCUCAUAUGUUAUAUUUAAAUGUAUCAUUA